UACGAAGGGGGCUAGCGUUGUUCGGAAUUACUGGGCGUAAAGCGCACGUAGGCGGAUAUUUAAGUCGGGGGUGAAAUCCCGGGGCUCAACCCCGGAACUGCCUUCGAUACUGGGUAUCUUGAGUUCGGAAGAGGUGAGUGGAAUUGCGAGUGUAGAGGUGAAAUUCGUAGAUAUUCGCAAGAACACCGGUGGCGAAGGCGGCCAACUGGACCAUUACUGACGCUGAGGCGCGAAAGCGUGGGGAGCAAACAGG
rnacentral:rRNA from 1 species